rnacentral:rRNA from 1 species
GUCUGAACUCAAAUCAGGUAAGAUUACCCGCUGAAUUUAAGCAUAUUAAUAAGCGGAGGAAAAGAAACUAACAAGGAUUCCCUUAGUAACGGCGAGUGAAGCGGGAACAGCUCAAGCUUGAAAUCAGCAUUUGGUAAACAUAUGUUGAGUUGUACCUUUUGGAAGCAGUUUCAAGCGACUGGUUGCGGUAAAAGUUCUUUUGAAUAAGACAUCAAAGAGGGUGAGAAUCCCGUCCUUGACCGUGAUUUAAGUUGUGAUACGAACUGUUUUCUGCGAGUCGGGUUGUUUGGGAAUGCAGCCCUAAUUGGGAGGUAAAUUUCUUCCAAAGCUAAAUAUCAGUAAGAGACCGAUAGCAAACAAGUACCGUGAGGGAAAGAUGAAAAGCACUUUGAAAAGAGAGUGAAAAGUACGUGAAAUUGUUGAAAGGGAACCGGUUGGUAGCCAAGCAUUUCCUAGCAAUAGGAAGGUCAACAUCGAUUGCUAUUUAACUGCCAGAAAGGAAAUUAUGCAGACUAGCGGAGGAAGGUAGGGAUUCGAGUUUCCAGAUCAUUCGUGGUUUGGUAUUAUGGCUCGAGUUCUGUUAUAGCCUCCAUGGGUUUGCUUUUUACGCCUAGUGGUGGUGGCGAUCGAGGACUGCAGCGCGUUUUCCAUUUUUAAUGGGAUGAUCUAAUUGUUUGAGAGCAUUGUAGUUGUGAUUUGGUAGACAGCAUGCUGACUAUCAUUGGCAAUUAUAUGAUUUUGGGCAUUUGGGAUUAAUAAGCGCUUUGGAUGUUGGCGAAAAGGCACUAAUCGACCCGUCUUGAAACACGGACCAAGGAGUCCAACAUGCAUGCGAGUAUCUGGGAAAAUUAAACCCAUAUGCGCAAUGAAAGUGAACUAGUAGAAACUUUUAUUAGAAUGCAACCGGGAUAGUAUCCUGGGCAGCAUCGACCGACUUUAGAUAGCGUUGCUUGAAAAGGUUGAGUAAGAGCAUGUAUGCUGGGACCCGAAAGAUGGUGAACUAUGCCUGAAUAGGGUGAAGUCAGAGGAAACUCUGAUGGAAGCUCGUAGAGAUUCUGACGUGCAAAUCGAUCUCCAAAUUUGGGUAUAGGGGCGAAA